rnacentral:rRNA from 1 species
GCCCGUUGCGGCAGACUAUAAUGCAGUCGACGCACAGCGAAAGGUGCUUGCACCUUUCAAGUGAGUGGCGAACGGGUGAGUAACACGUGGACAACCUGCCUCAAGGCUGGGGAUAACAUUUGGAAACAGAUGCUAAUACCGAAUAAAACUUAGUGUCGCAUGACACAAAGUUAAAAGGCGCUUCGGCGUCACCUAGAGAUGGAUCCGCGGUGCAUUAGUUAGUUGGUGGGGUAAAGGCCUACCAAGACAAUGAUGCAUAGCCGAGUUGAGAGACUGAUCGGCCACAUUGGGACUGAGACACGGCCCAAACUCCUACGGGAGGCUGCAGUAGGGAAUCUUCCACAAUGGGCGAAAGCCUGAUGGAGCAACGCCGCGUGUGUGAUGAAGGCUUUCGGGUCGUAAAGCACUGUUGUAUGGGAAGAACAGCUAGAAUAGGAAAUGAUUUUAGUUUGACGGUACCAUACCAGAAAGGGACGGCUAAAUACGUGCCAGCAGCCGCGGUAAUACGUAUGUCCCGAGCGUUAUCCGGAUUUAUUGGGCGUAAAGCGAGCGCAGACGGUUUAUUAAGUCUGAUGUGAAAGCCCGGAGCUCAACUCCGGAAUGGCAUUGGAAACUGGUUAACUUGAGUGCAGUAGAGGUAAGUGGAACUCCAUGUGUAGCGGUGGAAUGCGUAGAUAUAUGGAAGAACACCAGUGGCGAAGGCGGCUUACUGGACUGCAACUGACGUUGAGGCUCGAAAGUGUGGGUAGCAAACAGGAUUAGAUACCCUGGUAGUCCACACCGUAAACGAUGAACACUAGGUGUUAGGAGGUUUCCGCCUCUUAGUGCCGAAGCUAACGCAUUAAGUGUUCCGCCUGGGGAGUACGACCGCAAGGUUGAAACUCAAAGGAAUUGACGGGGACCCGCACAAGCGGUGGAGCAUGUGGUUUAAUUCGAAGCAACGCGAAGAACCUUACCAGGUCUUGACAUCCUUUGAAGCUUUUAGAGAUAGAAGUGUUCUCUUCGGAGACAAAGUGACAGGUGGUGCAUGGUCGUC